rnacentral:misc_RNA from 1 species
AAGUCGUAACAAGGUCUCCGUAGGUGAACCUGCGGAGGGAUCAUUAACACGUUUCUAACGUAUCCACUAUCAACCAACCGCGAACGAGUGAGAGCUCUACAUUAUGUUUAAUGACAUAACGUAGUUCUUUCCAAUCUCCCUGUCACUCAAUAUUGUAUCAAGGAACUAGUAAUGGGUUUUAUAUUGUCUUACGACUUAUAAAUCGGUUUCUUAUACUAACAGGUCAACUGUAAAAUAUUGAAUUGAUGGGCUUAAUUAAACUUUUCAUUACAGGUUGAAACCAAACCGUUUCACCCCAUUUAACGACAUCGGACUGAUUACUUACUACUAAGAAAUUUUUAGUAAGCCAAAACAAAGUGAAUAACUUUGAUAUUCUAACUAAUAGCACAACUCUUAGCAACGGAUAUCUUGGUUCUC